rnacentral:lncRNA from 1 species
CAACCACCCAAACUGUGUGGGUGCGGCCAGAUCCAGGGCUUUGCAGUUUGCUGAUGUGAUUGUGUUAUUUGGUGCAAGACUCAACUGGAUAUUACAUUUUGGACUGCCGCCAAGGUACCAGGCAGACGUGAAGUUUAUUCAGAUUGAUAUCUGUGCAGAAGAACUGGGGAAUAAUGUAAGGCCUUCGGUGACUUUGCUAGGAGAUGUAAAUGCUGUUUCUAAACAGCUUUUAGAACAGUUUGUUAAAAAUCCAUGGCAGUACCCCACAGACAGCAAAUGGUGGGAGACUCUGAGGGAGAAAAGGAAGAACAAUGAAGCCGUAUCCAAGUGUUCUACCAUGUUCAAGAACAGUUGCCCAGGAACUGUUUCAUAGUGAGCGAAGGAGCAAACACCAUGGACAUUGGACGGACUGUGCUUCAGAACUACCUUCCUCGUCACCGGUGAGACUCCAGGAAAGAGAGGACAACAUGUCUGAUUUGAGACCCCAGUGAAGCUGAUUAUGAAAAAUAUUUGAAAGCUGGGCGUGCCUAGUGC